rnacentral:rRNA from 1 species
GGCUGGGGCGGCACAUCUGUUAAAAGAUAACGCAGGU